UUCUACUGUUGCUGCUCACGCCAGACGCAAGCUCUCUAGUCCUCUUCUUGCGGCUCCUCCCUCCAGUCAAGUUCCGUCUCGGCUAGUGUGGAGCCUACGCUCUUUGGUGAGUUUUCCAAUCAGUUCCCUGGAAGUCGUUUCCUAGUGACCAGCGCUAAACUUUUUCCCACCGCUUUUGAGAGGAGGUCCUCUCCUGGAGCUCUCACUCUGAGGUCCACGUGGAAGACUUGUAUCGGACUGGGGAGGCCGACGCCACCGCAUUCUGCUCCCUGGCGGGCUCCGUCCCAUUCCGCGGGGCUGAGACUUAAUGAUUCGCGGCUCACGUGCAUAUUCCGGCAGCUUCGUGAGUGCAGCCGUGUGACCGUUGCUUACCUGGCUAGGGCCAGCAGCUGUGGCCACACAAGCGCCCCAGAGCCCGAAUCCACCCCAGAAUCCAGUGCCUCGACAGGAGGAGCGUCCACCACUGGCGACAGGUCCCCUGUGGGGGCAGGAAGGGGACCUGGGUGGGAGGGCGGUCGCGCAGCCACAGUGAGCGCCCGCGCGACCCUCCCACCCACACCCAGGCUCCAGCCUUCCCGAAAGCCAGAAAGUGGACCUUCGGAUGAGUGGUGGCCCCAGGGGGUCACCCGCGUACUCUGUGCCAGGCACAGUUCCAGGCACUGGGGAUACAUCUGGAAACAGAAUCCGCCCGUCCCUGACCUCCCUUGGGAACAAAUCAGUAAGAGAGGAUUUGGUUUAGCGGUAAGAGCUAUUCCAUGAAUGAACGAAACAGGGCCAUGGAGGAGGAAGAGUCAUCAAGGGAAGGACUCUCAGGAGGCUGUGGUUGAGCCUCCGGUGAUGAAUAGCCCAGCCUGUGAAGAUGGUGGGGGAGGCAGUCCAGUUGGAGGGAGAUAGCCCCUGAGGCUGGAAUAAGCUUGGAGUAUUUGAGGGGCAGGUGGAGGUUAGGUAUGGCUAGAACAUCUUAAAUGAGGGGGGAAGAUAAGCAGGGACUAAGUAGGUCACUAGGCCAUAGCAAAG
rnacentral:lncRNA from 1 species